rnacentral:rRNA from 2 species
ACGAGACCCCAGGUCAGGCGGGGCUACCCGCUGAGUUU